CCCCCAGCCGCAUAUAUACCAGGCUGGGGGGUUCUUUUGGGGAUUGGUCAUCGUGUGGCGCGAUGGGGUUGCCACUGACAUGGCCGUUACAGGGCGUCGUGGGGCAGCGCUGGGUACGGCUAUGGCAGGGCGUAGUGGAGUUCCGCUUUGUACGGCUGUUACAGGGGAUCGUGAAACAGCGUCGGAUACGGCCGUUGCAGGGAGUAGUGGAGCAGGGGGCCGCGGCGUGCCUCAGGGGAACAGUCU
rnacentral:lncRNA from 1 species